GACGAACGCUGGCGGCGUGCUUAACACAUGCAAGUCGAACGAUGAAGCUGGAGCUUGCUCCGGUGGAUUAGUGGCGAACGGGUGAGUAACACGUGAGCAAUCUGCCCUUGACUCUGGAUAACUGCGGGAAACUGUAGCUAAUACCGGAUAUGAGGCUUGGAGGCAUCUCCAGGUCUGGAAAGAAUUUCGGUCAAGGAUGAGCUCGCGGCCUAUCAGCUAGUUGGUGAGGUAAUGGCUCACCAAGGCGACGACGGGUAGCCGGCCUGAGAGGGUGACCGGCCACACUGGGACUGAGACACGGCCCAGACUCCUACGGGAGGCAGCAGUGGGGAAUAUUGCACAAUGGGCGGAAGCCUGAUGCAGCAACGCCGCGUGAGGGAUGACGGCCUUCGGGUUGUAAACCUCUUUUAGCAGGGAAGAAGCGAAAGUGACGGUACCUGCAGAAAAAGCACCGGCUAACUACGUGCCAGCCGCCGCCGUAA
rnacentral:rRNA from 1 species